rnacentral:rRNA from 1 species
CUACGGAGGGUGCAAGCGUUACUCGGAAUCACUGGGCGUAAAGCGCGCGCAGGCGGUCUUUUAAGUUGGAUGUGAAGGCCUACGGCUCAACCGUAGAACUGCAUCCAAAACUAUUAGACUAGAGUGUGGGAGAGGAAGAUGGAAUUAGUUGUGUAGGGGUAAAAUCCGUAGAGAUAACUAGGAAUACCAAAAGCGAAGGCAAUCUUCUGGAACACUACUGACGCUGAGGCGCGAAAGCGUGGGGAGCAAACAGGAUUAGAAACCCUAGUAGUCC